GCUUAGAAGAUCUGCGACAUGUGCCUGUACUGUAAGGGGGAUGAGACAACCCAAGUCAACCCCGAAGGACCAAGAGGGAGGGAUCCUAUAGAUCUCACUAGGAAACAGUCCACGAACAAGCGUAUUAUGCACAUGCAAGUCAUGAGGAAGCAGAAGAGGAAACAAAGUAAACUUUUCUCCAAGCCAAUUCCUCAUGAGGAACCGGAACUCCUAUGGACUUCCUGAUAGAGCUGGAGUCUACUUGGAAGGAGUCAUGCGCCAGACCACAAACAUGGAUUUCUAACAUCAAGCGGCAUGUCAUGUUUGAUUUCACUUGCAAAUAAAGGCAAUGCUCUGACACAUCAGCAAAAUAAA